UCAGUUUCUAGGAAUUAGAGGAUG
rnacentral:piRNA from 1 species